rnacentral:lncRNA from 10 species
GAUGAAUCAGAAGAUGGAAACCAGAGAACAAACAGGAGGAGCCAAGCACCACAGAGAACAAUUCCCAGGAGAUGGACUGAUUACUCAUUCAGCAAAUGGCAACAUGACCAACUGGGUUUCAGAGUCAGUAUGGAAUAUAACAGCCUCUCAUUUUCCCCCUUUUGAACAGAAAGAACUAUAGAAUUUUCCUAUGCUUGCCCCACCAUUGAAUGUUUAGUGUGUGAAAGGCAGAUGACUUAUCUUUUUAGUUCAAAGGUUUUCCAAAGAACCUUAAUUCAAAGGCUUUCAAUAUUCAAGAAGCCUUAGCCAAGGAGCCUUAUCUGUGUCUGGAAUUGAUUUGGAAGACAAAACGCUGAACUUGAAACUAAUGCAGUAAUGGAAUAAGACAUGGGGGGUUUGAGGGCAGAAAUGAGUGUAUUUUGCAUGUAGGAGAGCUAUAUAAGUGGUUGUGGUUAGAGGAUGGACUGUGGCAGAUUAUAUUUUCCUGAGAUGACCCCAAUGAUUUUGUAAUUUAUUUUGUAAAAAUUUAUCCAAAGCAAGGACCAUAAAUUUCAAGACAGAAUUCUGAAUUCAGUAAAUGAAGUAUACAAAUGUCCAACAGAUAUAUUUUAAAAAGUUCCAUAUCACUAAUCAUCAGAAAAAUGCAAAUCAAAACCACAAUGAGUUAUCAUCUCUACCCCAGUUAAAAUGGCCUAUAUAAAACAGACAGGUAAUAAUGGAUGCUGGUGAGAAUGUGGAGCAAGGAGAAUGCUAGUACACUGCUGGUGAGAAUGUGAAUUAGUACAGCCAUUAUGGAGAACAGUAUGAAGGUUCCUCAAAUAACUUAAACUAGAACUACCACAAGAUCCAGCAAUCCUACUGCUGGGUAUAUAUCCAAAAUAAAAGAAAUUAGUAUACAGAACACAUAGCUACAUUCCCAUGUUUAUUGCAGCACCAUUCAUAUUAGCCAAGAUCAACCUAAGUGUCCAUCAACAAUGAAUGGAUAAAGAAAAUGU